CCGCUCGACGAUGAUGACAUGGUCUCCUACAUCCUCGCUCGACUAGACUACGACUACAUCUCGUUUGUCUCUUCCAUCUGUGCUGUGAGGACCGAACCAAUCAAGGUAGCAGAACUCUACUCUCAGUUGAUUGGUUUUGAGA
rfam:Triticum aestivum genome assembly, contig: Triticum_aestivum_CS42_TGACv1_scaffold_377127_5AL